GAUGAACGCUGGCGGCGUGCCUAAUACAUGCAAGUCGAGCGAACAGACGAGGAGCUUGCUCCUCUGACGUUAGCGGCGGACGGGUGAGUAACACGUGGAUAACCUACCUAUAAGACUGGGAUAACUUCGGGAAACCGGAGCUAAUACCGGAUAAUAUAUUGAACCGCAUGGUUCAAUAGUGAAAGACGGUUUUGCUGUCACUUAUAGAUGGAUCCGCGCCGCAUUAGCUAGUUGGUAAGGUAACGGCUUACCAAGGCAACGAUGCGUAGCCGACCUGAGAGGGUGAUCGGCCACACUAGAACUGAGACACGGUCCAGACUCCUACGGGAGGCAGCAGUAGGGAAUCUUCCGCAAUGGGCGAAAGCCUGACGGAGCAACGCCGCGUGAGUGAUGAAGGUCUUCGGAUCGUAAAACUCUGUUAUGAGGGAAGAACAAAUGUGUAAGUAACUAUGCACGUCUUGACGGUACCUAAUCAGAAAGCCACGGCUAACUACGUG
rnacentral:rRNA from 1 species